ACAGAUGGGAGCUUGCUCCCUGAUGUUAGCGGCGGACGGGUGAGUAACACGUGGGUAACCUGCCUGUAAGACUGGGAUAACUCCGGGAAACCGGGGCUAAUACCGGAUGGUUGUUUGAACCGCAUGGUUCAAACAUAAAAGGUGGCUUCGGCUACCACUUACAGAUGGACCCGCGGCGCAUUAGCUAGUUGGUGAGGUAACGGCUCACCAAGGCAACGAUGCGUAGCCGACCUGAGAGGGUGAUCGGCCACACUGGGACUGAGACACGGCCCAGACUCCUACGGGAGGCAGCAGUAGGGAAUCUUCCGCAAUGGACGAAAGUCUGACGGAGCAACGCCGCGUGAGUGAUGAAGGUUUUCGGAUCGUAAAGCUCUGUUGUUAGGGAAGAACAAGUACCGUUCGAAUAGGGCGGUACCUUGACGGUACCUAACCAGAAAGCCACGGCUAACUACGUGCCAGCAGCCGCGGUAAUACGUAGGUGGCAAGCGUUGUCCGGAAUUAUUGGGCGUAAAGGGCUCGCAGGCGGUUUCUUAAGUCUGAUGUGAAAGCCCCCGGCUCAACCGGGGAGGGUCAUUGGAAACUGGGGAACUUGAGUGCAGAAGAGGAGAGUGGAAUUCCACGUGUAGCGG
rnacentral:rRNA from 1 species